UUAUUAGCUAGAGUCUUGCCUCGCACCAAAUUAACCUAACUCUACACCAAGGGAAAAACAAAAAAAAAAAAUUGAGCAAAAAAAAAAAGGACAAAGAGCAGACGAGUUGAGAAAACGGAGUAAAGCAUUGAUCCUUCUGAGAACGGAAAGCCCAAUAACAUUCCUCAACAACACCAACAACACCGAAACGUUUAGCAUCAAAAAUUAAACAACCACCGAUACCAACAGAAUAGACACCUUAUACGACUAACAUGCUGGGAAGAGUGGAGGUACAGUGUAAUUUUGGGAAAAAUCUCAAGGACUCCUCUUCUUUCUUCCUUUCAUUAAUUAAAUAUUACAAUCUAUCACAUAAUAUAUAGCUAGUUGCUACUUGCCAGCACGGAGGUUUCGGAAGUAAACCUGGGGAUUGCUCUCGAAGGAGGUCCGGGCGUGCAGCGGCCGGCCAUCGAUCCCGGGGGCCUUCAUCAUCUUUCCGCCACCAUACCGGCGCCGCCGCGGCCGAAGCAGAGGAAGAGGAUGGCGAUGGCGAUAGCGAGGAUGAUGGUCCGAUUGUUUAAAACAUCGGUCAAGAAGCGGCCGAAGGCAGACAGGAGGUGGAGUAGUGGGACAAAUAACAACUCUAUCACGCUCCGGCCCAAGCCAGAAAGGAGAUGGAAUAAUAGUAGGACCAAGUUCUUUAACAACUCUAUCACUCCCUGGCCGAAGGCAUACACGACGUUGAGUAGCAGUGAGACAAACUGCGUUAAGAACCCUAUCACGCCGUUCAUCUCUUCUCUCGCUGUGGGGAAAAGUAAAGGCUCGGUGAAUCACAGGGAAAUGGAAGGCUAGGAAGGAUAGGAAUAUGUUGUUCUUUAAGAAUUCUAUCAGAGAGUCCCAACCUAACCCCACUUCUUUUUUUUUUUUAUUUUUUUAUUUUAUGAUGAAGAUAGAAGACUCGAAGUCAAGGUGGACAGGUGUUCUUUUUCAUCCACGUACUUAUCGAACAUGAACCCAGUUUGUG
rnacentral:lncRNA from 1 species